AGUUUGAUCAUGGCUCAGAAUCAACGCUGGCGGCGUGCCUCAGACAUGCAAGUCGAACGCGAAAGUCUCCUUCGGGGGGCAAGUAGAGUGGCGCACGGGUGAGUAACACGUAGGUAAUCUACCUUCGGAUGGGGAAUAACAAUCGGAAACGGUUGCUAAUACCGCAUAAUGCAGCGGCACCUAAUGGUGACAGUUGUUAAAGCGGGGGAUCGAAAGACCUCGCGUCUGAAGAGGAGCCUGCGGCGGAUUAGCUAGUUGGUAGGGUAAUGGCCUACCAAGGCAACGAUCCGUAGCCGGCCUGAGAGGGCGGUCGGCCACACUGACACUGACAUACGGGUCAGACUCCUACGGGAGGCAGCAGUCGGGAAUUUUGGGCAAUGGGCGAAAGCCUGACCCAGCAACGCCGCGUGAAGGAUGAAAUCCCUCGGGAUGUAAACUUCGCAAGAACGGGAAGAAUAAGUAGGGGACAAUACCCCCUAUGAUGACGGUACCGUUUGUAAGCUCCGGCUAACUCCGUGCCAGCAGCCGCGGUAAUACGGGGGGAGCAAGCGUUGUUCGGAUUUACUGGGCGUAAAGGGCGCGUAGGCGGCCAGUGCAAGUCAGUUGUGAAAUCUCCGAGCUUAACUCGGAAAGGUCAACUGAUACUGCUCGGCUAGAGUGCG
rnacentral:rRNA from 1 species